CCGUACGCAGAAUGUUUGAAUGAUGAUUUCUAAUUUGUGAGAUCAAAAGCCAACACAUAUUGUGCUAAGCACAAUAUGCUAACUACAGAGUUACUGUAACACCCUUGAUUUAGAGACUAACAACAGAGCAACUGAGCAAAGCCACAGUGGGUGAUCUGCUGUAUCCAUCGUGAGGAAUUGAACUCCGGAUUUUAGCGUUGUUAUGUCUGAAGACUUACCGCAGUCCCGCCUGGGAACGAGAUGUACCGAGAAAAUAACUUCUAUGUCAUCACCUCAGUUGAAAGCAAGGACCACAGUAAAUGUGGUUUUUCACUAUUGUGUUCUUUUUGUGUGUUAAAACAAAGGAUUACAUACAUUCCUUAUCUUCAUUCUAAUAAAAAUACAUAUUUCCAUAAACUACAAAACAGACGGGCAACAAGAGACCAUCUGGUCCUUCAAGGCUCUCCUUGCACACCCACACAUGAGAAAAGUAAACAUUUAAACCCUGCCUCCCUUUAUUUUUCUGGAAAUAGUUGAUUCCAUUCCUAAACUCCUGUAAAGUGCUGGCCUUUACUACUGACAAAAGCAACUCAUUUCAUAAGCUUACCAUCCUGUUAUAAAAAAUAAAACAGUCUUAACUGGA